rnacentral:rRNA from 1 species
AGCGGCGGGAAUUCGAUUGGCGGACGGGUGAGUAAUGCUUGGGAACUUGCCUUUGCGAGGGGGAUAACAGUUGGAAACGACUGCUAAUACCGCAUAAUGUCUUCGGACCAAACGGGGCUUAGGCUCCGGCGCAGAGAGAGGCCCAAGUGAGAUUAGCUAGUUGGUAAGGUAAAGGCUUACCAAGGCAACGAUCUCUAGCUGUUCUGAGAGGAAGAUCAGCCACACUGGGACUGAGACACGGCCCAGACUCCUACGGGAGGCAGCAGUGGGGAAUAUUGCACAAUGGGGGAAACCCUGAUGCAGCCAUGCCGCGUGUGUGAAGAAGGCCUUCGGGUUGUAAAGCACUUUCAGUUGUGAGGAAAAGUUAGUAGUUAAUACCUGCUAGCCGUGACGUUAACAACAGAAGAAGCACCGGCUAACUCCGUGCCAGCAGCCGCGGUAAUACGGAGGGUGCGAGCGUUAAUCGGAAUUACUGGGCGUAAAGCGCACGCAGGCGGUUUUGUUAAGCUAAGAUGUGAAAGCCCCGGGCUCAACCUGGGAUGGUCAUUUAGAACUGGCAGACUAGAGUCUUGGAGAGGGGAGUGGAAUUCCAGGUGUA